GAAUGUGAGGGCCAUCUGGCUGCGACAUUUGUCACCCCAGGGUUGAUUCAGAAGAACUUGGCUAGGCAGGUGUCCCGAUCCUUCCUCAGUGCUCCAUGUGCAUUCCUCCCAAAGCUGUGAGCUUGGUCGAAGAGGACGACCUUCCCAGAAUACAGACAAGCGGGUCUUUGGUCAAGAGUAUGGAUACAAGUAUCUGUGCUCCCCUGCUAGAACCUCCAACAAGCUCUCAAACUGGUAGCAGAACCUGGAAGAUGUCAGUGGUCUCAAAAAAAGCACCUUAAUUUCAAGGUGGGGUUCAGGGU
ensembl:misc_RNA 7SK 7SK RNA